UUAAGCUUGCAUGGCUUGUCUCUUUUUAGGGGCUGCUUUGGGAUAGGAUGGGGCAGCUCUGCUCUGGCUGCAUCACAGUAUAAAACUGCAUUUGCACCCACAGUACAGCCCUCAUCCCCUGCCUGCAAUGUACAAGGAUCCUUCCAGCCAGCAAACAGUUUUGUUUUUUGUGUAAGAGCAAAACUGUCUAUUUUUGCCUGCAGAACCAAUGCAUUAGCUCGGAGGAGUGGCACCAGGAGGAAAAGCUGGAGCAGCUGCCCACCACCCAGUCCCCGAUUUCUCCUUCAAUUUUUUUUUCCCAAUUAAAUUAAUUUUAAAUGAAUGAAAAAUGCUUCAUGCCCUAAGAUCCUGAAACCUCUCGUGUCAGCUGAAACCAGCACUUCUGCUCCCAGCUGCAGCCCUGGCUGCAGGCACCUCUGCUUUGAAGCCUUUGAAGUGGUUGUGGUGCAGGCAAGGCUCUCUGCAGAGAAAGCCAGUCAUUUUAUAUAUAUUUAAUGUAUAAAGUGCAUCUGUUUGUGUUAGCAUAACACAGAUUUUCACAAUGCACAGGGAAUGGUGUGGAAGAGUUAUUGACCUGCAGAACAAAAUUGCAGGAAAAAAAAAAAAAACGGGGAGCCAUCCCAGGAAUGGCUCUUCCUACCCCAAAUCAGGCAGGUGAGGCCAGACAGCUGCAGAGGAGAUGAAAGCAUGAAAACUGCUUCUUCGCUGUUCAUUUUAUGAAUGAAUUUACUGUUUCUAAGAGCAAGAGAUUGAAACAUUUCUGCUGUCAUCUGACCCUUCUAAAGCUUAGAAGAAGCAAUGCUGCUGGGAUGUGAUGCAAAAGCUAUACAAUAAAUUAGAUUAAUGGUUGGGUUGUGGAGCUAAUUACUGGACUCACUUGGUAAUGACCUUGGUUCUGGGAGCACUGUGUGUGGUUUGGGAUGCAGAACCUCUGUGUAAGAAAUGAUCUGAUGUAUUGUGGUCUGUAAGAGAAGGAUCCACCUCAGCAAUCACUAGGACAAAUUCAGUGGCUGAUUUGUCUAGAUAGAUAAAUUUCCAUACUUUUUUAGCUGGCAGAGAUUCAAAAUUGAUGUCUGUUUCAGAAUGAACCAUGUUUAUUCACCUUGCUCUGCAAUUAUUCCUGCUUGUAACAGAGGAGGUUUAAGCUUCAGAUCCUCAAACAGCCAGCUCAUUGCAUGCUACCUGAGCAGCAUUUCCAAGUGGUUUCAUGAAUGACUUCUCCCAUAGAGCGGCUUUCAAACCAAAGCAAAAUACAAAAGAUUUCUAAAAGCAUCUGAAAUGGAGAAACAAUUGCAUUCUGUGACUCUGCAAAAAUAUUUCUGAGGAGACUAAUAUAUUUUGCCAGGGUAAUGUCCUUUUUCUGGGGGUGGUUCUUUUUUCUCAGCAUUUGUUGCUUUGUCAGUGCAAGCCACACAGGGAAAUGUUGGAAAAUGGAUAGGGAAAUUAACCCUGUGUUUUUCACACAGUUGCCCUUUAUGCUCUUUUAUUUUUAUUUUUUUCCUUGCUUUUAUGAAGCCAUCAUUAAUCUAGUCAGUCAAGGUCAGACAAGAUUUUUUUUCUUCUUUUCAGACCUUAAAGCUUAUAAAACUUCAAUCUCCUCUUGCAUAACCAAAUGUUUAGUACCUACUGUUUGGGUUAAUUAGAGUGCAUUCUUUACAGCUCUGAUAAUAAUCACUAUUACACCAUCAGAGCAGUGGUGGUAGGAUAUUUUUUCAUUUGUUAUUUCUUUUUUAUAGCAAAAAUCUAUGUACUCAUACUGCUUAAACAACUGGUUCUUUUGGGUUCUGUCAAGGGUUCAUACCUGGAAAUGCCAAGCUCUAGAAUAUAAGAACAUUGCAUACACUCAUUAAAACUCCCAAACUAAAUGCAGCACCUUGAAAAUACCUCAGAAAUAGGUAAUUCUUUUGAAGAAUUCAUGGGGAAGAGAUGAGAAUAAAGAGAGAAGAUCCUCUGAAUAGCCAGCAUUAAGACAGGUUUAGCCAAGCAGGGUGAAAAGGAGCCUUCUCCAAUCCCUUCAGUGCAUGGCUAUUAGUACUGGUAACAGGGCUCUGUGUCCCAAGAGAAAGAGUGGAGAGUGAAUGAGGAAACAAAAAUAUUUCUGUAAAUAAAGGUUUUUUUUUUUCAAUUCAGAUGUUUUUCAGGAAGUCAGGAAAAAAAAUCUACUUCUCAAAUGUCAAGUACUUGAAAGACUAAAAAUAGAUCACCAGAAUAAAUAAAUUAACCCAGAAGACAGGACUGAUGCUCUGCAGGCACCAAGGAUUAAAUAAAUUCACUAAAUUCGAAGUGGUAUUCCAGAUAAGAGCUCUUUGUGCUGCAGCAUGUACAGCUUAUUGAUUAUAGGAUUGAGGUGCUGUGCACUCUUGUAAAAUGUACUGUGGCUGAUAUGACUUAAUCCUGCAGUAAUGUACAGCCCGGUGCACAAAGCAUGGAGCUAGCUUAUAUUUUCUUGUUUAUUUUAAUUUUGUUUCUGCCUUAAUUUGCAGCACCGCAUCUGUGCCCUCUUCCACCUGCGCCACGUCAGCGCAUCCCCGGGCAGCAUUUGCUCGGGGCAAGUGACGAGAGGCCUUCCCCACUGUGCUGAGUCAGCAGGAUGAAGGUGAAAACACUACCUGUCCAGAGAAGCUGGAUUCUUAUGGAUAUACUGAAAAAGUUUAGAGUUUUGUAAGCCCUGCUGGGUGAAAGCAAGCCAUCCCAGAGGGUGGUUAUACACUUAACUGGAGUUAAUUCUGGUUGACUUUCAGUUAACGGCCUUCAUCUCCGUCAUUACUGCAGAGCAAAACCAACUCCUGGCCUAAGUUAGUACGUACAGGGAUCCUCAGCUUCAUAGAUAUCAAUAAGUCUGAUGGAUUUCUUGCUGCAUUCUCAUACUUCUGCCCUGGUGUCUCUUAUGGGAUCAUCAUUUCUGCAUGCUUGGAUUGUUUUAUGGGAUCAGUGAAAGGCAAGUGACUGUAAAUCUUGACCUCUUCUGCUCCUGGAUUAUAUACUUUUAUUCUUUGUGACCAUAAGUGUUCAUCUCUACACUGAAUAGAUAAUUAAAUGACAAAAAUUAUUCAAAGUGAAUUUAUAGUGAGAAAUUAUCACUUGAAAACCUGAUGGGGCACAGGUAUAAUCCAAAGAGAUAGAAUGAAAAAAAAAAAAAAAAAAAAAAAAGUUUAGAUUUGCCAAAUAAAGCACUGCAAUACCCGUGUGUUUGUAAAUGUCAUGAAACAGCUACUCACUGGGGGGAAAAUAGUUAAAUAAAUAAAUAAA